rnacentral:rRNA from 1 species
CCCUUCAGAGGGGGACAACAGUUGGAAACGACUGCUAAUACCGCAUACGAUCCGACCUCGGCAUCGAGGAUGGAUGAAAGGUGGCCUCUAUUUAUAAGCUAUCACUGAAGGAGGGGAUUGCGUCUGAUUAGCUAGUUGGAGGGGUAACGGCCCACCAAGGCAAUGAUCAGUAGCCGGUCUGAGAGGAUGAACGGCCACAUUGGGACUGAGACACGGCCCAG